rnacentral:lncRNA from 1 species
UCACGGGGGGUACGAAGCGGCCGUUGUGCAUAUGUCUGGCCACCCAUGGCCCCAUCCUGACUCCCUCCCGCACCUCCCACACCUGUCCUCACGCCAUCCCCCACCCGACCUACCCGCAGCCGCGUGGCGCUGUACGGCGUGGACGCGCUGAUCAAGGCCAAGAAGACCGACCUGAAGCACAACCUGCUGGGCGUGAUGGACGAGGAGAAGAUCCGCCUGCGCGAGGAGGUGAACGAGCAGAUCCGCGCGCUCAGCGAGCUCAAGGAGAUGGGCGCCGCCUACGGCUUCGACCUGAGCCGCCCCGCCGCCAACUCGCGCGAGGCGGUGCAGUGGCUGUACUUCGGCUACCUGGGCGCCGUCAAGGAGCAGGACGGCGCCGCCAUGAGCCUGGGCCGCAUCGACGCCUUCCUGGACACCUACUUUGAGCGCGACCUCAAGGCCGGCACCAUCACUGAGGCCGAGGUGCAGGAGCUGAUCGACCACUUCGUCAUGAAGCUGCGCAUCGUGCGGUGAGCCCGGUUUGGGCGCUGGCAGGGCGGGGCUGUGGGUCAAGCAGCGGGUGCAUGGGGGCGCAUGCAGUGUUCCAGUGCAACGCCACUUCCAAGCCUUUCCUUACCGCACGUUUGUGCGCUCCUUGCCUUGCCUUCCGCCGCC